UUUUUGAUGAGAAUUGAAAGUCUAAUCUGCUCNCUGAAUUAAAGUUUUAAGGGCCGCAGUAUUUUGACUGUGCAAAGGUAGCAUAAUCAAUAGUUUUUUAAUUGGGGACUGGAAUGAAAGAUUGGAUGAGAAAUUAUUUUUUUUUUAUUAGUUAUUAAAAAAUUAAAGUUUAAGUGAAAAUGCUUAUAUGAAAAUAGAAGACGAGAAGACCCUAUAAAUUUUUAUUUUAAUUUUAAAUUUAAAAUUAGGUUAUUAUAUUUAAGUAUAUAAUUAAAAUUGAAUUGGGGUGAUGAAAUAAUAAGAUAAACUUAAUAAUUAUUAAACAUAAAUUUAUGAAAUUUUUGAUCCAUUUUUGAUUAAUAGAUUAAGUUACUUUAGGGAUAACAGCGUAAUUUUCCUUAAAAGUUCAUAUUUAUGGUAAAGUGUGCGACCUCGAUGUGAA
rnacentral:rRNA from 1 species